rnacentral:rRNA from 1 species
AAAUUGAAGAGUUUGAUCAUGGCUCAGAUUGAACGCUGGCGGCAGGCCUAACACAUGCAAGUCGAGCGGUAGCACAGAGAGCUUGCUCUCGGGUGACGAGCGGCGGACGGGUGAGUAAUGUCUGGGAAACUGCCUGAUGGAGGGGGAUAACUACUGGAAACGGUAGCUAAUACCGCAUAACGUCGCAAGACCAAAGUGGGGGACCUUCGGGCCUCAUGCCAUCAGAUGUGCCCAGAUGGGAUUAGCUAGUAGGUGGGGUAACGGCUCACCUAGGCGACGAUCCCUAGCUGGUCUGAGAGGAUGACCAGCCACACUGGAACUGAGACACGGUCCAGACUCCUACGGGAGGCAGCAGUGGGGAAUAUUGCACAAUGGGCGCAAGCCUGAUGCAGCCAUGCCGCGUGUGUGAAGAAGGCCUUCGGGUUGUAAAGCACUUUCAGCGGGGAGGAAGGCGAUAAGGUUAAUAACCUUGUCGAUUGACGUUACCCGCAGAAGAAGCACCGGCUAACUCCGUGCCAGCAGCCGCGGUAAUACGGAGGGUGCAAGCGUU